AAGUCGUAACAAGGUUCCGUAGGUGAACCUGCGGAAGGAUCAUUAACAUGUAUCCAAACGUUAAAACAACCCUGUGAACCUUGAGCGUGUUCUUGCAGGACAUCAAAACAGCAAUCCGAGUAAAUCAGGCGCUAAAGAAUUACAGAUUUUGAUUUUGGAAAGUUCUGUGUGUACGUGGACGCUAGAGCACUCAAAUGUCUGAAAGCGGCAGGGAUCAAUGUUCAGGGUGGCGCAGUCAACGAUCGCUGUAGGUCCACACGACCGGCGACCGGGGUGGAGGCGAAAGCCCCUACGUCAUCCCUAUGUACCCUCCGGGACUUGGCGAAAGCUGACUCCGUCAUAAAUCGAACAACUGUUGACAAUGGAUAUCUUGGUUCUCGC
rnacentral:misc_RNA from 1 species